AACGAACGCUGGCGGCAGGCCUAACACAUGCAAGUCGAGCGAGCAUUUCGGUGCUAGCGGCGGACGGGUGAGUAACGCGUGGGAACGUGCCCUUUUCUGCGGAAUAGUCCUGGGAAACUGGGGGUAAUACCGCAUACGCCCUUUUGGGGAAAGAUUUAUCGGAGAAGGAUCGGCCCGCGUUGGAUUAGGUAGUUGGUGGGGUAAUGGCCCACCAAGCCGACGAUCCAUAGCUGGUUUGAGAGGAUGAUCAGCCACACUGGGACUGAGACACGGCCCAGACUCCUAUGGGAGGCAGCAGUGGGGAAUCUUAGACAAUGGGGGCAACCCUGAUCUAGCCAUGCCGCGUGAGUGAUGAAGGCCUUAGGGUUGUAAAGCUCUUUCAGCUGGGAAGAUAAUGACGGUACCAGCAGAAGAAGCCCCGGCUAACUCCGUG
rnacentral:rRNA from 1 species